UGACACGUGUCCUCCUCAAGCUCUCCUAUCUCUUUUAAAAAUUUGCAUGCACCCGGUCUACACAAAUAUAACAUACACCAAAUCUAUUUUUUUAAUUUAAAAUUAAAAUAUAAUUUAAUGGAUAUAUUUACACUAUAUAAUAAAUUUUUGUACAAAAUAUUAUAGGGUUUAAGUUCCAACAAUAUGGACUUAUCAAUAUAGUGUUUAACAUAUAAAUAUACACUUGGUGCAUGAAAUAAUUUCUUCCCAACCCACUUCUCAUUUAUUAAAAACUUUGCCUACGCCCGGUCUAUAAAUAUUACAUACACUAACCUUAAUUUUUAAUGAUUAAUAUUAUUAAAUUAAAAUAUAAUUUUAUAAAUGCGAUCUAUACUAUAUAAAAUGCCCCUAUAUAAAAAAUUAUCAGAGUUAGAUUUUUAUAUCAAAUAUUUAAAAAUAAAGUGUGUAAAAUUUACUUAUACACCUGGUGCACCAAAUAGUAUCAUUUGUUUUAAUGUAGAUAAAGAUAUAUAGAUAGCCCCUCAACUAUAAUUUUUUUGAAUUGAGUAUAUAAUACGAAAUUUUAAAUUUUUAUACUUUCAAAUUUUAAAGUUAUAAAUAUCAAAUUUUAUAUUUUAUAUUUUAAAUUCUAAAUUUCAAUUUUAACUCAUAAUAUUUAUUUCUAAAUUAUAAACUUCAAAUUUUAAAAUUUUAAAAUUUUAAAUCUCUAAACUCUAUAAAAUUAAUUAAUUAAUUUACUAUAUUUAAGGAGGGUUUUGGGGAACCAAAGGGUGACACGUGUCCCCCCAAACCCUCCUUUACUCGCUCUUUCCCUCUAUAUAUAUAAUAAAAAUAUAUAUAAUACGAAAUUUUAAAUUUUGAUACUUUCAAAUUUUAAAGUUAUAAAUUUCAAAUUUUAUAUUUUAUAUUUUUAAUUCUAAAUUUUAAUUUUAACUCAUAAUAUUUAUUUCCAAAUUUUAAACUUCAAAUUUUAAAAUUUUAAAAUUUUAAAUCUCUAAACUCUAUGAAAUUAAUUACUUAAUUUUAUUCAUAAUUAAUUAAAUAUAUUAUAUUUAAUUAAUUUUAUUAAUAAUAUGCGUAAUAAAUUGCAUAAUAAAAUUAAACCUGAUAGAUGCAAUUUAAAUCACGUAAAAUAUCGUUAUAUAAAAAAUACAAAAUUUAAAUUUCAGGACUAAAAUUUUAGAAAUAUAGUGUAUAUGUGUAUAUAUAUAAUGAAGUUUAUUAAACAAGUUCU
rnacentral:lncRNA from 1 species